UUGAUCCUGGCUCAGAAUCAACGCUGGCGGCGUGCCUAACACAUGCAAGUCGAACGCGAAAGCCCCGCAAGGGGUGAGUAGAGUGGCAAACGGGUGAGUUACACGUGGGUGACCUGCCUUCGAGUGGGGGAUAACGUCCCGAAAGGGACUCUAAUACCGCAUGACAUCCUGCCUUUGAACGGGCGGAGAUCAAAGCUGGUGAUCGCAAGACCUAGCGCUUGGAGAGGGGCCCGCGCCCGAUUAGCUAGUUGGUGAGGUAGCGGCUCACCAAGGCAACGAUCGGUAGCCGGCCUGAGAGGUCGGACGGCCACACUGGGACUGAGACACGGCCCAGACUCCUACGGGAGGCUGCAGUGGGGAAUUGUUCGCAAUGGGCGCAAGCCUGACGACGCAACGCCGUGUGGAGGAUGAAGAUCUUCGGGUCGUAAACUCCUUUCGAUCGAGACGAAUUCUCUUGGGGUGAACAAUCCCGAGAGUUGACGGUACCGAGAGAAGAAGCUCCGGCUAACUCCGUGCCAGCAGCCGCGGUAAUAAGGU
rnacentral:rRNA from 1 species